AUACCUUGAGCAGUUUAACGAAUAGAAUCGGGAAUGAAGACCAGUGAACCUUGAGAAGCCAACGGUGGAGGUAUCAUAUGCAAUUCGAUGGAGGUAUCGUAUGCAAUUCUCUUUGUUGGUUGUAUUAUUAAAAUGACUUCGGAAUCUCUUAUUCUUCUUUGUGUUUUUACAAUGUUUUUUCUCUUUUUUGUUUCAGAGACAAAAUAAAAAAAGUUUUUCUCUCUAUAUUUUGGUUCGUUUGAAGAAAAUAAAACUCCUUCUCCUCUUUUUCCUUUUGGAAUUAAUUUUGUCUCAAUUUAUGGGCUAGAGUGGUAAAUCUUUGUGUUUAUUAGAUAAAAUUAAGUUCUGAAUUUUGUAUUGUUUUGUAGCAAAUAUUAAACAUCACAUUGAUUUUGAGUGCACAAAAAAAAAAAAAAAAAAAUGAAGCAAGGAACCGGUUUGUAUCAAGUUUGUAGUAGGGAUGAUAACAAGACAUAUAUUUGUCACCGUUAAAUAUUCGAGAUAUAUAUACAAAAUAUUAAUUGCAAUAAAACACUACAACUCAAUAACAAUUUCAUUAUUUGAUCAAUAUUAAUUCUAAUAAAUUAAAUCAUUUAUAUCUACAAAGUAUAGAUUAAUUUUUUAUAGUUGAUUUCUUUUUAUUACCAGAGAAAAAUAUAAUAACGUGGUAUCCAUCCGAAAGCAUGAGUAUUUUACUAGUUAGUUAUCAGAUAAAUAUAUAUUUUAUUAGUAAUGUGUCUUUUUAAUAUAUUUUAGAUAAAAAUUAUAAUACACCAAUUAUUAUUUAUUGUAUAAUCGUACAUAAUACAAAUACUUAUCGUUGAUUAAUUAAUAAAAAAAUUAUCCUUGAUGUGUUAAAAUUUAUAAUAAUUUUUAAAUAUCAAUUCAUUAUAAACCACAUAUAAAAAGUUAUCCGCCUUAAAUUUAAAACAUGUGUUAAUGAAAUCACACAAAUUAAGAGAAUUAGGUUUAGAUGGAUAUAUGGGUGGGUGGAUGUCACCUUUAUCGACAUCAAUAGUAACAAUCCUUUCUUUAGCAGCGACUAUUAUAGUUGCGUGCAAAUUGUGGAUUAAAGGCUAUGCACACAUUGCCUAGCUACCCUGUCCAGCCUUCAUCUAUUUAUUCGGGUCAAUUGACUAAUUCUAACAUCUUUUCAUUUAUAAAUAUAUUAGAUUAAUUUAUUCCUAAAAUCUGAUAAAGUGAUAAACCUAUCAUAUGUCCACAUAUAUAAAAGGAGAUAGGUUAUUUAGACACAAACAUUCCACAUCGUACUAACGCUAAAUAACAUUAGAGAUAAUUUAAACAUAUUUUUUAUUUUUGUAUAUUUGAUAAUAUUAGAGAGAAAAGAAGAAACAUCAUCUUUUUUACUUUACUUAUUUAUUUUAGAUAUAAUAAAUCCAACUUAACUUAAUGCAGCCCAUACAAUCUAUCUUACGAGACUUGAACUUGGUGACAAAAGGAAUAUUUUACUACAUACCUCGUAUACCCCAAUCUGUUACAUAAUCAUAAACUUUCAAUUUUGUCCUUCUUUAUAAUAAUAAAAUUUAUUUUUUACGUCUUUAUAAAGAUCUUCAUUUAAAAUUUCUAAAAUACUUGAGUCAAGUUUUUCAUAAUAGAUAUUAGAAAAAUUGAACCGUCGUAACAGAUGUUUAUAUUAGAAAAAUUGAACCGUCAAAUUUUUCAAUAGACAAAUAUGUACUAAUCUACUAAGAAUUUCGGUUGUUCAAGUUUUUAAAUACACAUAAUGUUUGGAAUAACUUGAGUCAAAUUUUUUAGUACAUCAAAAUGUUUCAAAAAACUUGAACUAAACUAUUCAAAAUAAAUGAGUGUUGUUUUAAGAGAAGGGGAAUUUUUUAAUUAUUUUUUUUAAAAGAAAGUCAAGGACAAAUCUAUAAUUUUUUAAAAUUUGUCAACGGGUAUAACUACGAGGUAUUGGGUAAAUUAUUUUCUUUUUUUUAAAAGAGAGAGGGUUCAGCUUCCACUUUAAUUAACCUUUCAUUUACUUGAUAAAAAACUCACAUGCGAUGAUAUACUUCCACUUAAAUCCAUAUAUAUUUUUGAAGAAAUACUUUUUUUUUAUUAAUGAUUAGACAUUAUUUUAAAUACUCUGGAUUUUAUGUAAUUCUUGUAGUUUUUAUCAUUAGUCAAAAUGUGCAAUGUUUAUAAAAUAUCUCGAACUUCAAUUUUUUUAACAUCGUGAAUUUUUUUAGUAUAUAACAACAAAUUUAUUUUCUCUAAAAUUAAUAAUAUUGGAAAGGUAAAAAAAUAUACUAAUUGUUGAUGACAUAUUUUACUCAUAAAUGUAGGAUGGAGUUCACUUCAAAUUGUUAGAUAAUAUUAUAAUAUAUUAGUAGUAAAGAUAUUUUAGAUUUUUCUAUUCUCUUUUAUAUAUAUAUGUUUAUUGUAACUAUAUCACCCUAAGUUAUCCUUCAUUUUGUUUAUGAAAUUCUAGUGAGUUCUUUUUCUUCUUUCUCUCUCCAUCUUCCUUUAUUCUAUGUUUAUGUUUGUUAACAUGAUAUCAAAGACUUUUGAUUGAUUUUGGGAUCUAUUGUAAUGUGGUCCACAGUGUUCGAAGUAAAUAUUGCUAGUCAGCUAAAUUUAUAGGGUUUAGUAGUACAAGCCAACAAAAUAUAGGUUGCCUUCAUUUGUUGGUGGUUGGUUACAAGAUUAUUAUUAGAAAAAUGUUUCUUCUAUAUAUUCACCGUAGUGUCUACUCGAUGUAGUGCCCACAGCUUUGUUGAUACCAAUUUGCUCCUUCUAUUUCUGCUCUGAUUCUACCUCUUUUUUCCAGCGCGAUUCUGCUAUUUUGUUUCUAGUGUGGUUCUACUCUUCUGUUUUCGGCACAAUUUUAUUUGAUUCUUGAUUGACUCUGAUAUUGACAGAUUAUCCCUAAUUUAUUUUGUCUCAGUGAUUUUGUUUGACAUAUUUUCUUGUCAUUAUUUGUUAUAACGGGUGCUAAUGAUGAUUAUUUACAAGCUGUUAGUGUCCACCUCAAUGGACAAACUUACUCUUUUUGGAGUAAUGUGAUGAAAAAAAAAAUUGAUUGGAAAAGAUAUAUGGGAUUAUGUUAACGGAACUUCUGGUAAGUCUAUAGAUAAAAGGGAUGAAACUAAAUAUGCAAAAGAUUUGAAAAGAUGAAAUAUUAGUAAUUUAAAAAAUCAUUACUUGGAUUGAUAAUUUUGUUGAGCUGUCUACAGAUGUGCAACUAACAAAAUAUAAUACUGCUAAAUAGAUUUGGGAUCACUUGGAACGUUCGUAUGUUCAAUCUAAAUUUGCAAAAUAUUAUUAGUUGGAAAAUAAUAUUACAGCUCUUAAGUAGAACAAUAUGAUUAUUCAAGAAUUCUAUUCGGCAAUGACUAAUUUGUGAGAUCACUUGGCUCUUACGGAAUCACCUGAGUUGAAAGUUGUCAAAUCGUAUAUUGAUCAGAGAGAUAUGAGCAACUUUUGAUUUGAUUUCUAAUGGCUCUUCGUGAUGAUUUUGAGGGCAUUCGUGGGGUAUUCUACAUUGUUUCUGUAAGACCCUUAAUUUUUGAAACUCUAAUUUAUGCAAUUUUAGUGUAUUUUGUGUUGAAUUGCUUAGGGCUUUAGCAUAAUUUUUAUAUUAUGAAUUAAGUACCAAAAAUAUAUUUUGUUAGAGUUAGUAAUAUGUUUAAAAUAUAUGUAUACAUAUAUAUUUUUGGAGAACCGAUUUAAAUUAUUUAUUAGAGUAUAAUUUUAAAUUAUGUAUAAUUUUAUUAUCGAACAAAAUUUUAAAAAGUCAAUUGUCACUGAUUAAUUCACCUGUCAAUUGAGUUACAACGAAAGUAAAUAUUUUUUUUAUUAAAUUAGAUUGUGUAGUGAGUGAUGUGAUGUGUGUAAGAGUUUUUAGAUGUUAUAAUGAUAAUUUUAUUAAUAUAUAUAAAUAUUUAAUUAUAAUAUAUAUAUAUAUACAUAUAUAUAUAUAUAUAUAUAUAUAUGUAUAUAUAUAUAUUGUUUUGGUUGUAAGUAAAAAAAUUAAGUUACCACCCUUUUAAGGAAAACCAGCUACCUCCAGUGCUUGGUUAAGUAAUAAAAAUCUUUUUUUUUUAUUAGAUCUAAGCUUCCAUUCAAAAAGUAUUAUGAAGGAAAAUUGCUCCUAGGUGGUGCUUGUGGUGGCUUUGGAUUGUAAGUUUCUUUUUCUCCCACUUUUUUCCCUAUUUGGCCACAUGCUUGUGUGGUUGUUGUUGGUGUUUUGAAAAAAAUUAAUUAAUCUUUGUUGUUGUUAGUGUUUUGAAAAAAAUAAUAAUUAAUUUUUGUUGUUGAUGUUGUUAUGUAAUUAGUUGUUUUCAAAUAAACGAGUUUAAACUGAAGUUGAAAUUUUAAAAGAAAAAUUAAAAUUGUUAGAGUUGUGAAAAAGUUCAAAUUUUAACCAAGUUAAAUAGUUUGAGCAAAAAGUUAGAUUGAGAUUAAAAUGUUUAGAGUUAAAAAUGUUACUCUUUUAAUUACUCUUGGACUGAGUUUAAAGAAGAAAUUUAGAGUACUUGGUUAACUCAAAUUUUUGUGCUCUAAUGGUUGAGUGGUAUAACUUAAAAGAUAAAAAAUACCUAAUUUUGAAAGUAUGAUGUGGUUGGAUAAAUUUUGGUGGUGGAAAAAAUUGUUAUGAAUCUUUAUGUUUAUGUAGUUAGCUCAUUGAGUCCUGAAAAGGAAUUAAGACCAUUGACACCGAGUUAGAGGUCAGAAGAACUCUGAAAUAUUAAUGUUAUUGUGGUUAUUAAAGUAAAAUGAUUUUUCUUAGUUUAUUCAUUUCUAAAAAUAUUUGUUAUGAUUGAUGAGCAAGAAUGUAUACAUGUGGUUAUCAAAUCUAUGAACUUGUGUUUUAAGGAAAAUUAGUGAAUUGUGACUUCAUAUUUUUAUAUAUAUACUUUCAGUUUUUAGAAAAAUUUGCAUGAUUUUAAUUAAAGUUUUAAGUUUAUUAAGUAAAGGUUAAAGUCUUGAGUUAGAAUUUUUUUUUUUUUUUUAAGAUUUCAAGUUUCAUGAAUUAAAAUAAAAACUUUAAUGAAAAAUAUACAUUUUGAAAAUGAUGAAAAUAUUUUAAAGAGUUAGAACUUUGAAACCAGAAAAAAUAUUCAUUGAUAUUUAUUUUGUAUGAUUAUGUUUUUAUGAGGUAAGUACUUUGAUAGAACUUUUAGUCUUUAAAAAAAAUAUAGUGGAUCAAACUUGUAGUUAUUUGAGAAGAAAAAAAAUGAGUUACGACAAAUUUGAGAAACUUUUUUGUGGGUGUGUGAAAAUUUUUGAGAAAAAUAAUUUAAAAUAUUUCGAAUAAUUGUUAGUGUAUUCAUUAAAAAAAUUAAUGGAUGUUAAUUUCUAAAAAUAUAUUUUAUAUGUUGAAAGUGUGUUGCGGAUAAUAAUACUAUUAGCCCUUACUUGUUGUAAACUUUUUAGUGAAAUAUACUCCAAGGGGGUUAGGAGUAAGAAAUGGUUUGUAAGCGAGUUAAAGUUUCAGGGAUAAAUUUGACUAAGUCAAACACUAUUUGAUUGAAGGUGUUGACACGAGCGAGAUAUUUCGUUGUGUUUGAUUGUGCUAGUGAUAACUGUUGAAAAAACUAUAAUUAAGGUAAGGGCUCCUUUCAAAUUUUUAGUUUGCACAUAUGGCUCUUAUAUGUGUGAUUGAUGUCUGAAUAUGUGAUGAUCAUUACUGAUGUGAUGAUGCAUUCUUGAGUGAUAAUACGUUUUGUAAAAUGUUAUGAAUUUUAUUGAGGAUAAUAUGUCUUGAGUAUGCUCUGUGAAAAGUAUGAAAAAUUAUUAGUGUGUAAUGAGUAUUAAAAGAUGAGUUUUUAAUAGCUACAUUUACAUAAUGAUUGUUGUGAAAGAGUAAGACUAUGCUCACGCAUUUCAUAAUUAGUGAUGAUUGUGAUGGGUCACAAUGAUAGUGGUGACUGUGAUGGGCCAUAGAGUUAGUGGUGACUGUGGUGGGCUACAGGAUGGUGCCAUUAGUUGAUUGGUCCAUAUUAUCCUUAUGAGGAUUUUUAAUCGUGUUGAUCUGUGAUUGGUGGCAUCUCAGUAAUUAGUAUUGGUCUGUGAGAGGCAUUACAUUUAUGAUUUACGCCCCUCGACGAGGGUUUGGAAAUUCCGAAAUCAUGUGCAUUGGCAUAUAAGCAUUGCAUUAGGGUGCUUGGCACGUGAGUCAUGUUUAUUAUAAUAUGAUAUUUGUAUAUAUAAACUCUGUUAUUUUUUGUUAUCAUAUUGUAAUUGCUAAGUGUUAUUGCUUGUCCUUAUGACAUAAUUGUUAAAUGUUAUUUGUUAAUUUCGAUUGGUGACCUUUUACAUUAUUGUGGAAAUUAGGUUUUGCCUUCAGAUGAUACCCGAGUUCAUUCCACUAACUGUCACCUUAACCACAAAAACGUCGUUAGACUUCCCUGGCCGACAUUCUUCGAAUGCUUCGGUAUACGACCACAUCUCAAACAUGGCUACUUAUACGAGGAUGGUGUGAGGAAAAGUAGUAGAGCGGGGGCAGUAUAUCUCGCGGAGCUCACUCACGAGAUGAUUAACUAUUUGAUACUCACAAGGUUGGUGCUCGGGGUGAAUGGAGCAUGAGAAGAUGCAGAGGAUGCCUUGGUUAGAGUUAAGAUAGAGGCAACGGUAGGAGUUGGGGAUACAUUGGUUGGAUCAGGGACUAGCGGGAAGGAUAAGGGGCCGAUGCCAGCGGGAAGAGAUAUUACGGGACCGUCUAGGCGGCUCGAGCCAGAGCUUUCGCUUCCGAUGAAUGAUCCUCUACAGGUUUUGCCUUCAGAUGAUACCCGAGUUCAUUCCACUGACUUUCACCUUGACCACAAAAAUGUCGUUAGACUUCCCUGGCCGACAUUCUUCGAAUGCUUGGGUAUACGACCACAUCUCAAACAUGGCUACUUAUACGAGGAUGGUGUGAGGAAAAGUAGCAGAGUUGGGGCAGUAUAUCUUGCGGAGCUCACUCACGAGAUGAUUAACUAUUUGAUACUCACAAGAUUGGUGGUCGGGGUGAAUGGAGCAUGAGAAGAUGCAGAUGAUGUCUCGGUUAAAGUUGAGAUAGAGGCAACGGUAGGAGUUGGGGAUACAUUGGUUGGAUCAGGGACUAGCGGGAAGGAUAAGGGGCCGAUGCCAGCGGGAAGAGAUAUUACGGGACCGUCUAGGCGGCUCGAGCCAGAGCUUUCGCUUCCGAUGAAUGAUCCUCUACAGGUUUUGCCUUCAAAUGAUACCCGAGUUCAUUCCACUGACUGUCACCUUGACCACGAAAACGUCGUUAGACUUCCCUAGUCAACAUUCUUCGAAUGCUUGGGUAUACGACCACAUCUCAAACAGGGCUACUUAUACGAGGAUGGUGUGAGGAAAAGUAGCAGAGUUGGGGCAGUAUAUCUCGUGGAGCUCACUCACGAGAUGAUUAACUAUUUGAUACUCACAGGAUUGGUGCUCGGGGUGAAUGGAGCAUGAGAAGAUGCAGAGGAUGCCUCGGUUAGAGUUGAGAUAAAGGCAACGGUAGGAGUUGGGGAUACGUUGGUUGGAUCGGGGACUAGCGGGAAGGAUAAGGGGCCGAUGUUAGCGGGAGGAGAUAUUACGGGACCGUCUAGGCGGCUCGAGCCAGAGCUUUCACUUCCAAUGAAUGAUCCUCUACCGAAUUUCACUGAGUUAGUGAGUUGUUAUGAGAUUCCAGCGUCGCCGAAGCCACCUACCUCGUGGGUGGACCUGACUUCUUAGGAGACUGAUCUUUCUAUGGCUGUAUUAGUGGAUGAUCAGAUUAGUUUUUGGUUGUAUAGGGUCUUAGUGUUGUUCUUUUGAUGGUUGUACUUAUUUUGUUUUGGGAUGAUUGUAUCUAUGACAUAACUUGUAAGUUGACUUUUUGGUGGAUCCAUGUUCCAUUUUUUGACGUGACCAUGAGGGGAUAGCAUUCUGGGAGCAGUACUUAUGUGCAAGUGUUUGCCGAGAAUAUCCCAGGGGUUUGAGCGAUCUAUGAUAGGUCUCGUAGCCCUGGUGUAUUUUCUAUUUGUAUACUUUGGGUUAUUGUCCUAAAACUAUCUUAGGUUGUUGGUAUAAUAUAUGAUGUAAUUAUUUAUGACUCUCUUCCUUUUGUGUUACGACGUAUUAUUUUAUUAAGUUGUUUUAAAAAAAAUGCAUUCUUAUUGUUAUAAAUCGGGGUGUUACAGUUUUCCUCUUCCUAAUGUUGAAUUAACAAUUAAUGAAUUGUUGGCAGAAGAAAUCAGAUUUAAGACCCACUUUGUUGUGUCAGAUAAGGGAAAUAUCUCAACUCCUCCAUCUGUUUUUUCUACUCUUGUUCAAAAAGGAAAAUCUCAAGGGAGUGUUGGACUUGGUAAUGAUGAAUGCGCUUUUUGCAAAGAAAAAGGUCAUUGAAAAUCACAUUGUUCAAAAUUGGGGAUAGCUCAUACGAAGAAUUUUAGGGGUCAUUGUCCAAUGUUGUUGCACCUGCUUCUUCCUCGAUUGACUCUAGUUCUGGUUCUGUAUACUCAUCUAAGGCUACUUCUCAAAUAUAUGAUAUUGUAGAACAAGUUCAAAAACUUCUUGCCACUCAAUCACAUGUCAUGUUUCUCUCCUCUACUAAAGGUUUGAACUCAUCUAAUAUGCCAGGUAUAUCUCCUCCCAUAUGGAUUCUAAAUUAUAAAGCAUCUCACCAUAUGAAACAUAAUGAUAAAUCUUGUGUUUAUGAAUCGUUUCCCAUCUGUGUCGAUUAUGACUGUUGAUUGAACUCUUAUGCCAUUAGCAGACAUUUGUUAUGUCUCAACAUCUAACUUGUAUUUUUUAUUUUUAUGUUUAUUAUAUUUCUAAUCUCACUUUGAGUCUUUGUUCUCUUAGUCAAAUAUGUGAUUUCAGUUAUUCCAUUAUAUUUUAUUCCACUUCUUGUUGUGUGCAGGAUCCACAUUCUGAGAGGCUGAUUGGGAUAGACCAUAGACAAGGGCGACUUUAUGUUUUGGGUCACAUGCGAGUCCUAGAUACUGCAACCUCAACAACUACUAUUGACUUAUUACGUAGUUUUUGCUUGAAUUCUUCGUCUUCUAUUUUUUAUUUAUGGCAUUCUUGCCAUGAACAUGUUUUUGCUUCUAUAUUAAAAUAUUUG
rnacentral:lncRNA from 1 species